AAGCGCUUGAAUACAAAGAGUAUUUUACACAUAUAGCCGUUCAGCAAAUGUCGAAAAGUUCAAGGGGUAUUCAAGAUCUUGUGGAUAUGAAAUUUAGAAUCUUUGGCCAAGCGGUGAGUAAAUAUAUGAUUGUUUCGGUUUGUGUAAUGUUCAGACGGCACUUGACCCCCCGUUUGAAAGGUUAUUUUAUGAGGAUUACAAUGGUGGAUUUUAUUUAAAAGGGGGGUAAAUACUCGCCGAGAUAUUUAUAUUAGAAAAAUUGUGUCGUAAUAUGAUGCGAAAGGGGGUGGUCGAAAAGGAGUGAAUUUAAUAUAAAACAAGACGCCUGCUCAGGCGUUCACACUGGCCUGAAAAUAACGAGAUACGUGCUAUGGUGCAAAAGGCAG